rnacentral:rRNA from 1 species
GAUGAACGCUAGCGGCGGGCUUAAUACAUGCAAGUCGAGGGGCAGCACGAUGUAGCAAUACAUUGGUGGCGACCGGCGGACGGGUGCGUAACACGUAUGCAACUUGCCCUAUACUGGGGGAUAGCCCGAAGAAAUUCGGAUUAAUACCCCAUAACAUCAGAACAAGCAUUUGUUUUGGUUCAAAACUCCGGUGGUAUAGGAUGGGCAUGCGGUCGAUUAGCUUGUUGGUGAGGUAACGGCUCACCAAGGCGACGAUCGAUAGGGGGCCUGAGAGGGUGAUCCCCCACACUGGUACUGAGACACGGACCAGACUCCUACGGGAGGCAGCAGUAAUGAAUAUUGGUCAAUGGGCGAAAGCCUGAACCAGCCACGCCGCGUGAAGGAAGACGGCCCUAUGGGUUGUAAACUUCUUUUGUACGAGAAUAAACCUCAGGACGUGUCCUGAGCUGAAGGUACCGUACGAAUAAGGAUCGGCUAACUCCGUGCCAGCCGCCGCAGUAAGAC